rnacentral:lncRNA from 1 species
GAUUCCAUGCCUGACCAGGGGUAGGGGGAUGGGACGGAUCCAUCACCUAUCCCUUCAAAGAGAAGUAAGGCGGCCGACCAAGGGGGAGGUCUCGAGCGAUCAACGAGACCUCCCAGCCUUCAGUCAAGCCUCGUGAGGUGGCUCCAGCUCCUAGGCCGGGUGCUUCCAGCCGUGCACGGUGUGAGCGCGAGGAUUCAUUUCCCAACUUUGGGUUUCCUCCCACCCGGGGCUAUCAUGAGAUGGGGGUGCUCAAGUCUUUGGUGACGCCCGCUCGAGCUAGAGCAAUUGCAGGGCGUAGUGCAGACGAUAUUGAAAGGGCUGCUGCUAUUUAUCUCCAGAGGGUAUGUUUUCAAUUUCGCAUUUUCUUUUAUGUUGGGUCUUGCCUUUUAGGCUUGGUUUUAACGCUUGACUUUUAUUUUACCCCCUCAUUUCUUAGGUGGUAGCCCUCCGGACUGACUCGCUGAAUCGAAUCGUCGCCUGGCCUCGAAGUUGAAGACUCUUACUGAAGAAAAGAAAAAGGAGGCUCAUCAUUACAAGAAAAAGAUAUCCUCCUUGAAGAAGUCUCUAGAGACGUUGGAUGCUCGAGCUCGUGAACAGGAGACGGAGAAUGACAACUUGCGUUUUGUUUUGGCUCGCGCUCUGGAAGAGGCGAUUGAGAGGUAUAAGGCUUCAGCUGAGUAUGCCAGAGAUCUCGAGGUAUCUGUGAAGGAGUAUAAGACAUCGUUUGAUUAUGCUAAGGCUUUGAAUUCAUAUGGGAGGAAGGCGAUGGCAGCGUCUAUCGAACUCUUCAAGGAGUGGAUUAUGGUCGAGAAUCCUUCUAUAGACCCAUCUGGUCUAGAUAGAUUUCUUGCGCAGCGCAAGGGGAAGGAGAGUGGAGCACAGUCAUCCAGCUCGCUUGGACGUUCAUCACGAGGUGGUAGUGGAGAUGUCUCCCCUUCGAGCUGAAGCAUUUCUUAGUUGUUGUUCCCUUUGCUAGCUUUUCCUUUUUUGUGUUUACUUUUGUUUAGUCUCAUUAUCUCCUACUUGUCCGGGGUGUGGGCAAGAAUUUCUCAUAUGUAUAAAUACAUUUUCCGUUCGCUAUUAUUAGU